rnacentral:rRNA from 1 species
CCUAUCAACUUAUUUCGAUGGUAGGAUAGGGGCCUACCAUGGUGGUGACGGGUGACGGAGAAUUAGAGUUCGAUUCUG